AUUGAACGCUGGCGGCAGGCCUAACACAUGCAAGUCGAGCGGAUGAAGGGAGCUUGCUCCUGGAUUCAGCGGCGGACGGGUGAGUAAUGCCUAGGAAUCUGCCUUGUCGUGGGGGAUAACGUCCGGAAACGGGCGCUAAUACCGCAUACGUCCUGAGGGAGAAAGUGGGGGAUCUUCGGACCUCACGCUAUCAGAUGAGCCUAGGUCGGAUUAGCUAGUUGGUGGGGUAAAGGCCUACCAAGGCGACGAUCCGUAACUGGUCUGAGAGGAUGAUCAGUCACACUGGAACUGAGACACGGUCCAGACUCCUACGGGAGGCAGCAGUGGGGAAUAUUGGACAAUGGGCGAAAGCCUGAUCCAGCCAUGCCGCGUGUGUGAAGAAGGUCUUCGGAUUGUAAAGCACUUUAAGUUGGGAGGAAGGGCAGUAAGUUAAUACCUUGCUGUUUUGACGGUACCAACAGAAUAAGCACCGGCUAACUUCGUG
rnacentral:rRNA from 1 species